GGCCUAACACAUGCAAGUCGAGCGGAAACGACACUAACAAUCCUUCGGGUGCGUUAAUGGGCGUCGAGCGGCGGACGGGUGAGUAAUGCCUAGGAAAUUGCCUUGAUGUGGGGGAUAACCAUUGGAAACGAUGGCUAAUACCGCAUAAUGCCUACGGGCCAAAGAGGGGGACCUUCGGGCCUCUCGCGUCAAGAUAUGCCUAGGUGGGAUUAGCUAGUUGGUGAGGUAAUGGCUCACCAAGGCGACGAUCCCUAGCUGGUCUGAGAGGAUGAUCAGCCACACUGGAACUGAGACACGGUCCAGACUCCUACGGGAGGCAGCAGUGGGGAAUAUUGCACAAUGGGCGAAAGCCUGAUGCAGCCAUGCCGCGUGUAUGAAGAAGGCCUUCGGGUUGUAAAGUACUUUCAGUUGUGAGGAAGGGGGUAGCGUUAAUAGCGCUAUCUCUUGACGUUAGCAACAGAAGAAGCACCGGCUAACUCCGUGCCAGCAGCCGCGGUAAUACGGAGGGUGCGAGCGUUAAUCGGAAUUACUGGGCGUAAAGCGCAUGCAGGUGGUUCAUUAAGUCAGAUGUGAAAGCCCGGGGCUCAACCUCGGAACUGCAUUUGAAACUGGUGAACUAGAGUACUGUAGAGGGGGGUAGAAUUUCAGGUGUAGCGGUGAAAUGCCUAGAGAUCUGAAGGAAUACCC
rnacentral:rRNA from 1 species